rnacentral:rRNA from 1 species
ACGAACGCUGGCGGCGUGCUUAACACAUGCAAGUCGAACGAUGAAGCCUUAGCUUGCUUUGGUGGAUUAAUGGCGAACGGGUGAGUAACACGUGAGCAACGUGCCCAGGACUCUGGAAUAACCGCGGGAAACCGUGGCUAAUACCGGAUAGGUGCCGAGGCCGCAUGGUCUUCGGUUGGAAAGUUUUUGCGGUUCUGGAUCGGCUCACGGCCUAUCAGCUUGUUGGUGGGGUAAUGGCCUACCAAGGCGACGACGGGUAGCCGGCCUGAGAGGGUGACCGGCCACACUGGGACUGAGACACGGCCCAGACUCCUACGGGAGGCAGCAGUGGGGAAUAUUGCACAAUGGGCGCAAGCCUGAUGCAGCAACGCCGCGUGGGGGAUGACGGCCUUCGGGUUGUAAACCUCUUUUAGUAGGGAAGAAGCGCAAGUGACGGUACCUGCAGAAAAAGCACCGGCUAACUACGUG